UACGUAGGGUGCGAGCGUUGUCCGGAAUUAUUGGGCGUAAAGAGCUUGUAGGCGGUUUGUCGCGUCUGCUGUGAAAUUUCGGGGCUCAACCCCGAACUUGCAGUGGGUACGGGCAGACUAGAGUGUGGUAGGGGAGACUGGAAUUCCUGGUGUAGCGGUGAAAUGCGCAGAUAUCAGGAAGAACACCCGUGGCUAAGGCGGCUCUCUAGUACGGUACUGACGCUGAGACGCGAAAGCGUGGGGAGCGAACAGG
rnacentral:rRNA from 1 species